rnacentral:rRNA from 1 species
GACGAACGCUGGCGGCGUGCUUAACACAUGCAAGUCGAACGGAAAGGCCCUGCUUUUGUGGGGUGUUCGAGUGGCGAACGGGUGAGUAACACGUGAGUAACCUGCCCUUGACUUUGGGAUAACUUCAGGAAACUGGGGCUAAUACCGGAUAGGAGCUCCUGCUGCAUGGUGGGGGUUGGAAAGUUUCGGCGGUUGGGGAUGGACUCGCGGCUUAUCAGCUUGUUGGUGGGGUAGUGGCUUACCAAGGCUUUGACGGGUAGCCGGCCUGAGAGGGUGACCGGCCACAUUGGGACUGAGAUACGGCCCAGACUCCUACGGGAGGCAGCAGUGGGGAAUAUUGCACAAUGGGCGGAAGCCUGAUGCAGCAACGCCGCGUGCGGGAUGACGGCCUUCGGGUUGUAAACCGCUUUCGCCUGUGACGAAGCAUGAGUGACGGUAAUGGGUAAAGAAGCACCGGCUAACUACGUG